AACCGGCUCUAAACCGGGCAAGUCCUAUAAAUAUAACAAGGUCGAACUUCAUUCACAAUUCAUGUGUCAAAACUAAAAAGAACUUGACAAUUCAUGUGCAUAUAGAGCUUCACUUAAUAUACAUACAAUCAACGUUAAUAUAUUUGUGGUUUUGCCAUUUCAGAUGGAUGAAAGAGCUCGAGCAGAGGGAAAGUUAACCACUGAUGAUAUUCACGCGAGAGCAAUAGAAGAUGUUCAAACUUUGAGGGUUAAAAGAUGGAUGAAAGAGCUCGAGCAGAGGGAAAGUUAACCACUGAUGAUAUUCACGCGAGAGCAAUAGAAGAUGUUCUCUAUUUCAGUUCACUACUCACUUUUGCCGUGUUCAUUGGCUUGUCUCAGACAUAUGAUGGAAAUCGCAGCCAAGAAAAACAUGAUAAGUGUACUGCUGGUCCAGAAAUACAUAGAAAGCUCAUCAUCUCCGAAGUUUUAGCCUUUGCUUGUUUCCUUUCGUCAAGCCUGUGUGCUAAAGCACUGAAGCUACUCAUAACCUCACAUGAAAAAAAACGACGUCAUUAUAUCUUAAUUGCGGGAUCCUUCGAGCUGAAGGGCCUGAUGCUUUACUGUACAGCAUUAUUUUCUUUGACCGGGAUAUUUGCGCUUGUGGUCUCCGUCAUUCAUUUAGUUCAAAUGCAGGUGGGUAUGUAUUCUUGUGCAAAUAAAGCGACGAGAACAAUCAUAUGGGUGUUUUGCGCGAUUGUUUUGAUCGUAUUAGAACAAAUUGGUAGCAGCAGUGGAAAUAGAAUCGAUGUAGGAUGAGCCCCUUUCUUGAAAUCCUGCUAUACUGUUUCAAAUUACUUGUCUUGUAUCCCUGUUCUCAAUAAUAAGAUACUUUCUCCGUCCUUCCAUUUUUUU